rnacentral:rRNA from 1 species
UACGGAGGGUCCAAGCGUUAUCCGGAAUCAUCGGGUUUAAAGGGUCCGUAGGCGGUUUUGUAAGUCAGUGGUGAAAGCCCAUCGCUCAACGGUGGAACGGCCAUUGAUACUGCAAGACUUGAAUUAUUAGGAAGUAACUAGAAUAUGUAGUGUAGCGGUGAAAUGCUUAGAGAUUACAUGGAAUACCAAUUGCGAAGGCAGGUUACUACUAAUGGAUUGACGCUGAUGGACGAAAGCGUGGGUAGCGAACAGG